rnacentral:rRNA from 1 species
UAACUGCGAGUGAAGCGGGAAAAGCUCAAAUUUAAAAUCUGGUGGUCUCUGGCCAUCCGAGUUGUAAUCUAGAGAAGUGUUACCCGCGUCGGACCGUGUAUAAGUCUCCUGGAAUGGGGCGUCAUAGAGGGUGAGAAUCCCGUCUUUGACACGGACUACCGAGGCUUUGUGGUAUGCUCUCAAAGAGUCGAGUUGUUUGGGAAUGCAGCUCAAAAUGGGUGGUAAAUUCCAUCUAAAGCUAAAUAUUGGCGAGAGACCGAUAGCGAACAAGUACCGUGAGGGAAAGAUGAAAAGAACUUUGGAAAGAGAGUUAAACAGUACGUGAAAUUGCUGAAAGGGAAACGCUUGAAGUCAGUCGCGUUGGCCGGGAAUCAGCCUUGCUUUUGCUUGGUGUACUUUCUGGUUGACGGGCCAGCAUCAGUUUUGACCGGUGGAAAAAGUUCAGGGGAAUGUGGCAUCUUCGGGUGUGUUAUAGCCCUUGUUCGUAUACAUCGGUUGGGACUGAGGAACUCAGCACGCCGCAAGGCCGGGUCUUUGACCACGUUCGUGCUUAGGAUGCUGGCAUAAUGGCUUUAAUCGACCCGUCUUGAAACACGGACCAAGGAGUCUAACAUGCCUGCGAGUGUUUGGGUGGAAAACCCGAGCGCGUAAUGAAAGUGAAAGUUGAGAUCCCUGUCAUGGGGAGCAUCGACGCCCGGACCUGACGUUUUCUGACGGCCCUGCGGUAGAGCAUGUAUGUUGGGACCCGAAAGAUGGUGAACUAUGCCUGAAUAGGGUGAAGCCAGAGGAAACUCUGGUGGAGGCUCGUAGCGAUUCUGACGUGCAAAUCGAUCGUCAAAUUUGGGUAUAGGGGCGAAAGACUAAUCGACCAUC